CUACGGGUGGCUCCAGUGGGGAAUAUUGCACAAUGGAGGAAACUCUGAUGCAGCAACGCCGCGUGGAGGAUGACACUUUUCGGAGCGUAAACUCCUUUUAUAUAGGAAGAAGAUGACGGUACUAUAUGAAUAAGCGCCGGCUAACUCCGUGCCAGCAGCCGCGGUAAUACGGAGGGCGCAAGCGUUACUCGGAAUCACUGGGCGUAAAGAGCGUGUAGGCGGAUUAAAAAGUCAGAAGUGAAAUCCUAUAGCUUAACUAUAGAACUGCUUCUGAAACUCUUAAUCUAGAAUAUGGGAGAGGUAGAUGGAAUUUCUGGUGUAGGGGUAAAAUCCGUAGAGAUCAGAAGGAAUACCGAUUGCGAAGGCGAUCUACUAGAACAUUAUUGACGCUGAGACGCGAAAGCGUGGGGAGCAAACAGGAUUAGAACCCGAGUAGUC
rnacentral:rRNA from 1 species